rnacentral:rRNA from 1 species
CCUACGGGAGACAGCAGUGAGGAAUAUUGGUCAAUGGACGAGAGUCUGAACCAGCCAAGCCGCGUGAAGGAUGACUGUCCUAUGGGUUGUAAACUUCUUUUAUAAAGGAAUAAAACGAGGCACGUGUGCCUUUUUGCAUGUACUUUAUGAAUAAGGCUCGGCUAACUCCGUGCCAGCAGCCGCGGUAAUACGGAGGAUCCGGGCGUUAUCCGGAUUUAUUGGGGUUAAAGGGAGCGUAGAUGGGUUGGUAAGUCAGUUGUGAAAGUUUACGGCUCAACCGUAAAAUUGCAAUUGAUACUGGCAGUCUUGAGUACAGGUGAGGUAGGCGGAAUUCGUGGUGUAGCGGUGAAAUGCUUAGAUAUCACGAAGAACCCCGAUUGCGAAGGCAGCUUACUAAACUGUGACUGACAUUGAUGCUCGAAAGUGUGGGUAUCAAACAGGAUUAGAUACCCGAGUAGUC